rnacentral:rRNA from 1 species
UGGGGAAUUUUGGACAAUGGGCGCAACCCUGAUGCAGCGACGCCGCGUGAGCGAUGAAGCCCUUCGGGGCGUAAAGCUCUUUCGACCGGAACGAUAAUGACGGUACCGGGAGAAGAAGCUGCGGCUAACUACGUGCCAGCAGCCGCGGUAAUACGUAGGCAGCAAGCGUUGUUCGGAGUUACUGGGCGUAAAGAGUGCGUAGGCGGUUUUCUAAGUUCGGUGUGAAAUCUCCCGGCUUAACUGGGAGGGUGCGCCGAAGACUGGGAAGCUGGAGUGUGGGAAAGGCAGGCGGAAUUCCUGGUGUAGCGGUGAAAUGCGUAGAUAUCAGGAGGAACACCGGCGGUGUAGACGGCUUGCUAGACCAUAACUGGCGCUGAGGCACGAAAGCGUGGGUAGCAAACA